GAGGGGAUAGCUCAAGUGGUAGAGCGCAUGCUUAGCAUGCAUGAGGUCCUGGCUUCAAUUCCCAGGGCCUUCU
rnacentral:tRNA from 1 species